rnacentral:tRNA from 1 species
GGUCUCGUAGUGUAGCGGUUAACACGCCUGCCUGUCACGCAGGUGAUCGCGGGUUCGAUUCCCGUCGAGACCGCCA